rnacentral:rRNA from 1 species
GACGAACGCUGGCGGCGUGCUUAACACAUGCAAGUCGAACGGAAAGGCCCUGCUUUUGUGGGGUGCUCGAGUGGCGAACGGGUGAGUAACACGUGAGUAACCUGCCCUUGACUUUGUGAUAACUUCAGGAAACUGGUGCUAAUACCGGAUAGGUGCUCCUGCUGCAUGGUGGGGGUUGGAAAGUUUCGGCGGAUGGGGAUGGACUCGCGGCUUAUCAGCUUGUUGGUGGGGUAGUGGCUUACCAAGGCUUUGACGGAUAGCCGGCCUGAGAGGGUGACCGGCCACAUUGGGACUGAGAUACGGCCCAGACUCCUACGGGAGGCAGCAGUGGGGAAUAUUGCACAAUGGGCGGAAGCCUGAUGCAGAAACGCCGCGUGCGGGAUGAAGGCCUUCGGGUUGUAAACCGCUUUAGCCUGUGACGAAGCGUGAGUGACGGUAAUGGGUAAAGAAGCACCGGCUAACUACGUG